rnacentral:rRNA from 1 species
ACUCCUACGGGAGGCAGCAGUAGGGAAUUUUCCGCAAUGGACGAAAGUCUGACGGAGCAAUGCCGCGUGAGUGAUGAAGGUUUUCGAAUCGUAAAGCUCUGUUGUAAGGGAAGAAUAGCAAGAUAGGAAAUGAUUCUUGUCUGACGGUACCUUACCAGAAAGCCACGGCUAACUACGUGCCAGCAGCCGCGGUAAUACGUAGGUGGCAAGCGUUAUCCGGAAUUAUUGGGGCGUAAAGCGCAUGUAGGCGGCUUUUUAAGUCUGAUGUG